rnacentral:tRNA from 1 species
GGGUGUAGCUCAAGAGGUAGAGUGCAUGCUUAGCAUGUGUGAGGUCCUGGGUUAAAUCCCCAGUACCUCCU